UUUCCGGCGGGUCACGGAUGAGUGAUCCGCGAUUCUCUCAAGAUCACGUCCUACUUUCAGCCCCUGUGUGGUGACGCUCUCGCGCAGCAGCAAUAUGCCGGACUCCAUAGCAGACUCUGGAACGGCGACACCUGCUUCUCAUAGCGGCAGAACAGAUCUGUCCAGCGGCAGCUGUUCGGACCUUUCCCCGCGUCGUUUUCUUGGCUUUCUCAACAGCAGGAACACGUCGUGGGGUCCACAGGCAGGCAGCAGAUUGGGCUGGUGCCCAGCUGUAGGUGACUCUCAUCAUGGUCUCUCCAACUAUGAAAGCGGUGGUGGAUGCACUGUGGGCCGUGUGGAGCAUCGGGGCCUCCAUCUAUGACUACAUCCACACCAGCGCCAUGGAGGAACGCAUCCACGCCCUGGAGAACAUCAUCACCAUCCAUCAGUGUGUGAUCGGGCUCCUCUCCGCAGGCGUGGUGGGGCUUUUCACCUACAUCUUCUUCAAGAAACACUGAAAGAGGGCAAGGGAUGGGGGGAACAGGUAGAAGCUCCUCUGCUCACCACCUUUUCAGACUGAUGGGGAUCCAUUUUGGCUGAGGUUGACAAUAGGGUGACAAUAGGCUCUGGGCUGUCUCACCAGACUCCACUUCUGUAUGAGUUGUUUAUGGAUGUCGUGUUAACCGAGUAAGUGCAAAGGCAAGCUACCAGCAAUGGUAGACAUGUUCCAUGGAGAAUACCAAAUAAGGACCAUACUAGGGGGUAGCAAUGAUGACACAUGCAAUAAAAGAGGGCACAUCAGAAAGUGCAAUAGCCAAGAAUGGCACCAUUCCCCCUCAAAUAGGAUGAAUGCCCCAUUACCAGGGCUUGACAGAGCUUGCCUUAAGAUACAUUUCUGUUUCAGUGGAUUCUGAGGUUUGCUAAAUCAAGAGUUUGUGUUCAGUACACAAUUACACAUACUACAUAACUUAGCAUUGGUUGGCUAAGCUUUUUUUAAGGCAUUAAGCGAGAAAGGUGCAGUUUUUCCGAAGGCCUGUAAUGCUUCUCCGCAUAAUUUAUGGGCCUGUACUUGUAUCAUUCAUUAUACAUGCCAGUGUAAGAGUUUUUCAUUUCAAUCACCAUGUAAACAAUUAAUACUUUUCAUUGUCAGCAUUAUUUGCAUCAUAGUCAAGUUCAGUGCAAAACAAAAAGCUGGAAAGAGUAAUCCAAAGUGCCCUUAAAAACGCAACAUACAGGUUGUUCCUGGACUGUAAAUGUUUUAUACACGUCUUAACAUUUCAUAAUUUGUUAAGAUGACUUUGUGGACAUACCACUGCUCCAUAAACAUUUACUGCUUCAUAUUUAUGGUACACUGUGUAUUUUUGAAAGCAAAAUUUUGAGACAUUCCAUUUGGGCAUCAACAUGAGUUUAUCAGUGCCCAGCUACAAAGUAUGUGUACAAUUAGAAAGUAUACAACAAGAAAAAAGGAGAUUAUUAAGUAUACUGAGAGUUUGCCUCUGUAACUGUGUUUUAAAUAAUUACUUUCACUAACCUCCCUUAAAGGUUUUUUUUAUAUUAGUUGGUCAUUGGAAACUGCUACUAAUCAUGACCUCGGUGGUCAGUAAAAGGAAAUGUGACGGCACUAUGUAAAGGGUAUUGCUUCUGUUGUACCAAUACAUGGGUGGAUUUACAUUUUGUUACCUCACAGGGACUUCAAUAGAAAACAUACUGUUUACAUUUGAUUAUGAAAGCAUCCACAUUUGCCAUUUCAACAUGCAGAAUAAAUAUGGAGCUGUUUCC